UGAUUUGUGGUGAUGCUUCUUUGGCUAAGGUGAUGACCUCUCAAAGCAUGACACGUGGAUGAUCUAGCCUAGCUAGUUGCUCGGUCAGUUACGGUACCAACAGUAGUCCCCCAAGUUCUCGAGUAAGAAGGUACUUCUUGGUUGGGGACUUGUAAUUUUAAGUGCACUGGCCGAGCAACACCAUAGUUCAUCUUCCAAGCUGUAUAGUGCACUACCCAUAGUCCCCCAAGUCCCCGGGUAAGAAGGACAUUUGGAAGGGAGAGAACUUGGCACGAGGGUGUCGAAGGUGAAGGGGUUGUCGAAGGCACAAAGCUUGCAUGUCGCAAGGCAAUGUGCCUAGGCACGAGGGUGCCGAAGGCAUAAGAAUUGCAUGUCGCAAGGCGAUGGGCCUAGGCACAAGGGUGCCGAAGGCAUAAGACUUACAUGUUGCAAGACAAUAGAGCUAGGCACGGGGGUGCCGAAGGCAUAGGGGAUGCCGAAGGCACAAAGCUUGCAUGUCGCAAGGCUAUGUGCCUAGGCACGAGGGUGCCGAAGGCAUAGGACUUGCAUGUUGCAAGAUAAUAGAGCUAGGCACGGGGGUGCCGAAGGCAUAGGGGAUGCCGAAGGCACAAAGCUUGCAUGUCACAAGGCAAUGUGCCUAGGCACGAGGGUGCCGAAGGCAUAAGAAUUGCAUGUCGCAAGGCGAUGGGCCUAGGCACAAGGGUGCCGAAGGCAUAAGACUUACAUGUUGCAAGACAAUAGAGCUAGGCACGGG
rnacentral:lncRNA from 1 species